rnacentral:rRNA from 1 species
AGCGAACGCUGGCGGCAGGCUUAACACAUGCAAGUCGAGCGGGCGUAGCAAUACGUCAGCGGCAGACGGGUGAGUAACGCGUGGGAACGUACCUUUUGGUUCGGAACAACACAGGGAAACUUGUGCUAAUACCGGAUAAGCCCUUACGGGGAAAGAUUUAUCGCCGAAAGAUCGGCCCGCGUCUGAUUAGCUAGUUGGUGAGGAAACGGCUCACCAAGGCGACGAUCAGUAGCUGGUCUGAGAGGAUGAUCAGCCACAUUGGGACUGAGACACGGCCCAAACUCCUACGGGAGGCAGCAGUGGGGAAUAUUGGACAAUGGGGGCAACCCUGAUCCAGCCAUGCCGCGUGAGUGAUGAAGGCCCUAGGGUUGUAAAGCUCUUUUGUGCGGGAAGAUAAUGACGGUACCGCAAGAAUAAGCCCCGGCUAACUUCGUG